AGCAGCCGCGGUAAUUCCAGCUCCAAUAGCGUAUAUUAAAGUUGUUGCAGUUAAAAAGCUCGUAGUUGAAUUUCGGGAUUGGCGCAUCGGUCGUGCCUUACGGGGUAUGAACUGGUGCAGUCAAUUUCUCACCUUCUGGAGAACCGCGAUGUCCUUAAUUGGGUGCCGCGGGGAACCAGGACCUUUACUUUGAAAAAAUUAGAGUGUUUAAAGCAGGCAUUUUUGCUUGAAUACAUUAGCAUGGAAUAAUAAAAUAGGACGGCAUGGUUCUAUUUUGUUGGUUUCUAGGACCACCGUAAUGAUUAAUAGGGAUAGUUGGGGGCAUUAGUAUUCAAUUGUCAGAGGUGAAAUUCUUGGAUUUAUUGAAGACUAACUACUGCGAAAGCAUUUGCCAAGGAUGUUUUCAUUAAUCAAGAACGAAAGUUAGGGGAUCGAAGACGAUCAGAUACCGUCGUAGUCUUAACCAUAAACUAUGCCGACUAGGAAUCAGACGAUGUUAAUUUUUAAUGUACUCGUUUGG
rnacentral:misc_RNA from 1 species